GGCGCGGUGGCCUAGAGGUAGGGCGUCUGUCUCGUAAACAGAAGAUCGAGGGUGCGACUCCCUCUCGUGCCU